rnacentral:rRNA from 1 species
GAUGAACGCUGGCGGCGUGCCUAAUACAUGCAAGUCGAGCGAACGGACGAGAAGCUUGCUCCUCUGAUGUUAGCGGCGGACGGGUGAGUAACACGUGGAUAACCUACCUAUAAGACUGGGAUAACUUCGGGAAACCGGAGCUAAUACCGGAUGAUAUUUUGAACCGCAUGGUUCAAUAGUGAAAGACGGUUUUGCUGUCACUUAUAGAUGGAUCCGCGCUGCAUUAGCUAGUUGGUAAGGUAACGGCUUACCAAGGCAACGAUGCAUAGCCGACCUGAGAGGGUGAUCGGCCACACUGGAACUGAGACACGGUCCAGACUCCUACGGGAGGCAGCAGUAGGGAAUCUUCCGCAAUGGGCGAAAGCUUGACGGAGCAACGCCGCGUGAGUGAUGAAGGUCUUCGGAUCGUAAAACUCUGUUAUUAGGGAAGAACAUAUGUGUAAGUAACUGUGCACAUCUUGACGGUACCUAAUCAGAAAGCCACGGCUAACUACGUG